UUGUGAUCAGUAAAAGGUAAUUUAGU
rnacentral:piRNA from 1 species